AGGGAUGUAGCUCAGUGGUGCCGCAUCUGCCUGUCAAGCACGAGGUUCUGAGUUCAAUUCCCAGUACCCCGA
rnacentral:tRNA from 1 species